rnacentral:misc_RNA from 1 species
AAGGUUUUUCAUUGAUAAAUAAAAUGUUUCAGUUUUUCAUUCUCAUAUAAAAAGCAAGAAAAGUUACGUAGUUCUAUUCUACAACUACAACAUCAUAUAUUUUAAUAUUAAAACAAAACUACGUUCAUACCACUCACAGUUACAUUCAUGACUUGUGAAAUUCAAGAAUCGUAAAAAAAUGAUCGAUAUAGAAACCCUUGCACUCGUUGAAACCGGCAGCUCGACCGAGCUGCCGGUAUUCUUCCUCAGUACGGUGCUUGCCCUUGGCACGGUAAAUAGUCAUGACAAAAAUAUCACCUUCAAGAAGUGCUCUUGUUCUCUUGCUAUCAUCAGUAUGAUGAGGCAAAACUGGCUCACAAGCAAUAAAUUUGCCUUUCUCUGGAAGUGCAUUGUAACAACUCUUCAUUAUUUCUUUACAUUCAUCAUCUGUCCAUGUUGUUAGCACCCACUUCAUGAAAAUAGCAUCCCCCUUUGGUAUAUAAUCAAACAUGUCACCACCAACGUGCUUUAUACUAGGAAUUUGUGGGGCUUUUUCAACCACCUCAGGCAAAUCAAAGUUGAUUCCAAGUUCAAUAUCUGUAUGUUUUUCUAAAAUCAUUUUCAAGCAAUCUCCACCACUUCCUCCAACAUCAACAAGUGUUUUCACACCUUGAAACCCAUCAUAUCCUUGUAAAAUUGCCUUCAUAAAUGGCACAGAAACUCCAGACAUUGCAUUUAACAUAAGGCUAUUCAUCUCUGAGUUUUUUCCAUAGUAACUAUAAGCUGGCUCACCAUUUGCCUUCGCAAAUGGCUCUAUCGAUGAAUCAUUAACCGCCUCAUGAACCAUCGUCCACGCCUUCAUUAACGCGUCCUGAUGGUGCUGGAGCACGUACGAACCAUGAGAUAAGCCAUUCUCGUCCGUCACUAGGGUUUUCCCCACCUUAGUCAAUGAAUAUCUUCUUUGAGAGCCGUCAUCAACAUGUUCCUUGAACACACCAUAGCUCGUGAGCAUACGUAAAAUUCGUUGAAGGUUCUCAGCAUCCCCGCCGCCCUGAGGGCCGCGGAUUUUAGCCAGAAUUUCAACAGGAGAGAGUGGAGCAUUUGAUCCAUUUUCCCAAACAGCAUCAGUUACCUUAAGUUUAACAACAGCAUUAAGGGACAUAGGUACACUUAUCAUGUUAGCUAAUUCCAUUAUAGCUAAUCUUUCAUCAUUAUUAUUGUUGUUGCUUGGUUCCCCAUUUGCAUUCUCCAUGGCUUCUCUAUACUUUUUUUGGAACUAUAUGUUAU